UACGGAGGGAGCUAGCGUUGUUCGGAAUUACUGGGCGUAAAGCGCGCGUAGGCGGCUUUGUAAGUUAGAGGUGAAAGCCCGGGGCUCAACUCCGGAACUGCCUUUAAGACUGCAUCGCUUGAAUCCGGGAGAGGUGAGUGGAAUUCCGAGUGUAGAGGUGAAAUUCGUAGAUAUUCGGAAGAACACCAGUGGCGAAGGCGACUCACUGGACACAUAUUGACGCUGAGGUGCGAAAGCGUGGGGAGCAAACAGG
rnacentral:rRNA from 1 species